AUGUUUGCAUGGAGUGCUUGUGGAGACCAGAAGAGGGCAUCAGAUCCUCUGGAACUGGAGCUACAUGUGAUUGGUGCACUGCCAGGAACAUAAAUUCCUAUAAGGGUCUAGAAGACGAGGCUUUCCCAGAGGACCCAAAAUCUCCAAUUCCUUGAUUCUGUGGGACCUGACUUAGGAACUAACUAAAUGUAUCCAGACCUGUGGCUCUUUGACUUAUGAGCACAUUCAGAGGAAGAAGAGGAGACAGCAAGCAGGGAAAGGCCCAGUGAGGACACAUGAGGAGGCUGUCUUCCUUAUGGCAAACAGAAACAUCUGAGGACAAAGAGAACCUGCUAACACCAGACCUUGGAUUUGGCCUCUCCUCUCUGAGGAACACUUUCAACCAUGUAGCACCCCAGGCUGUGGUAUUUACUGUGCAGCUUAGAAGAUAGACACAGGUGUCCCAGGAAUUGCUAUCAGGUUCUUUUCUCCUGUUAGAUCUGUAAGCGAAAACAAACUAUAUCCAGCACAAAAAGCACACACCCUGGGACCAUGCAGACCCACAUUCAACUUGGUUUAUCCAGUUACUGACUUUCUUGGUUUAGCUGGACCUCUGUUUUGCUUACUAUCAAGUUAAUGAAAUAUGAAAUAUCCCUCC